rnacentral:rRNA from 1 species
CACGUAGGCACCAAGCGUUGUCCGGAUUUAUUGGGCGUAAAGAGCUCGUAGGCGGUUCAGUAAGUCGGGUGUGAAAACUCUGGGCUCAACCCCAGAGACGCCACCCCGAUACUGCUGUGACUUGAGUACGGUAGGGGAGUGGGGGAAUUCCUGGUGUAGCGGUGAAAUGCGCAGAUAUCAGGAGGAACACCAGUGGCGAAGGCGCCACUCUGGG